rnacentral:rRNA from 1 species
GUGGGGAAUAUUGGACAAUGGGGGGAACCCUGAUCCAGCCAUGCCGCGUGUGUGAAGAAGGCCUUUUGGUUGUAAAGCACUUUAAGCGAGGAGGAGGCUACAGAGAUUAAUACUCUUGGAUAGUGGACGUUACUCGCAGAAUAAGCACCGGCUAACUCUGUGCCAGCAGCCGCGGUAAUACAGAGGGUGCAAGCGUUAAUCGGAUUUACUGGGCGUAAAGCGCGCGUAGGUGGCCAAUUAAGUCAAAUGUGAAAUCCCCGAGCUUAACUUGGGAAUUGCAUUCGAUACUGGUUGGCUAGAGUAUGGGAGAGGAUGGUAGAAUUCCAGGUGUAGCGGUGAAAUGCGUAGAGAUCUGGAGGAAUACCGAUGGCGAAGGCAGCCAUCUGGCCUAAUACUGACACUGAUGUGCGAAAGCAUGGGGAGCAAACAGGAUUAGAAACCCGUGUAGUCC